rnacentral:rRNA from 1 species
CCUUCCGUAGGGGGAACCUGCGGAGGGAUCAUUACCGAGUUUACAACUCCCAAACCCAUGUGAACAUACCUAUUGUUGCUUCGGCGGGAUUGCCCCGGGCGCCUCGUGUGCCCCGGAUCAGGCGCCCGCCUAGGAAACUUAACUCUUGUUUUAUUUUGGAAUCUUCUGAGUAGUUUUUACAAAUAAAUAAAAACUUUCAACAACGGAUCUCUUGGUUCUGGCAUCGAUGAAGAACGCAGCGAAAUGCGAUAAGUAAUGUGAAUUGCAGAAUUCAGUGAAUCAUCGAAUCUUUGAACGCACAUUGCGCCCGCCAGUAUUCUGGCGGGCAUGCCUGUCUGAGCGUCAUUUCAACCCUCAUGCCCCUAGGGCGUGGUGUUGGGGAUCGGCCAAAGCCCGCGAGGGACGGCCGGCCCCUAAAUCUAGUGGCGGACCCGUCGUGGCCUCCUCUGCGAAGUAGUGAUAUUCCGCAUCGGAGAGCGACGAGCCCCUGCCGUUAAACCCCCAACUUUCCAAGGUGACCUCAGAUCAGGGUAGAAACCCAAA